rnacentral:rRNA from 1 species
GAAUUCACUAGUGAUUCCUACGGGAGGCAGCAGUGGGGAAUUUUCCGCAAUGGGCGAAAGCCUGACGGAGCAAUACCGCGUGCGGGACGAAGGCUUUUGGGUCGUAAACCGCUUUUGUUAGGGAAGAAUAAAUGACGGUACCUAACGAAUCAGCAUCGGCUAACUCCGUGCCAGCAGCCGCGGUAAUACGGGGGAUGCAAGCGUUAUCCGGAAUUAUUGGGCGUAAAGCGUCCGCAGGUGGUUUAUCAAGUCUGCUGUCAAAGCGUGGGGCUUAACCCCAUAAAGGCAGUGGAAACUGAGAGACUAGAGUACGGUAGGGGUAGCGGGAAUUCCCAGUGUAGCGGUGAAAUGCGUAGAUAUUGGGAAGAACACCAGCGGCGA